AGUGAACGCUGGCGGUAGGCCUAACACAUGCAAGUCGAACGGCAGCACAGUAAGAGCUUGCUCUUACGGGUGGCGAGUGGCGGACGGGUGAGGAAUACAUCGGAAUCUACUUUUUCGUGGGGGAUAACGUAGGGAAACUUACGCUAAUACCGCAUACGACCUACGGGUGAAAGCAAGGGAUCUUCGGACCUUGCGCGAUUGAAUGAGCCGAUGUCGGAUUAGCUAGUUGGCGGGGUAAAGGCCCACCAAGGCGACGAUCCGUAGCUGGUCUGAGAGGAUGAUCAGCCACACUGGAACUGAGACACGGUCCAGACUCCUACGGGAGGCAGCAGUGGGGAAUAUUGGACAAUGGGCGCAAGCCUGAUCCAGCCAUACCGCGUGGGUGAAGAAGGCCUUCGGGUUGUAAAGCCCUUUUGUUGGGAAAGAAAAGCAGCAGGUUAAUACCCCGCUGCUCUGACGGUACCCAAAGAAUAAGCACCGGCUAACUUCGUG
rnacentral:rRNA from 1 species